rnacentral:rRNA from 1 species
AGGUGCUGCAUGGCUGUCGUCAGCUCGUGUCGUGAGAUGGUUGGGUUAACGUCCCGCAACGAGCGCAACCCUCGCCCUUAGUUGCCAGCUAUUUAGGUUGGGCACUCGUAAGGGGACUGCCGGUGAUAAGCCGAGAGGAAGGUGGGGAUGACGUCAAGUCCUCAUGGCCCUUACGGGCUGGGCUACACACGUGCUACAAUGGUGGUGACAGUGGGCAGCGAGCACGCGAGUGUGAGCUAAUCUCCAAAAGCCAUCUCAGUUCGGAUUGAAGUCUGCAACUCGACUUCAUGAAGCUGGAAUCGCUAGUAAUCGCAGAUCAGCCAAGCUGCGGUGAAUACGUUCCCGGGCCUU